rnacentral:rRNA from 1 species
CACGGAUAACAUACCGAAAGGUAUGCUAAUACGGGAUAAUAUAUUUGAGAGGCAUCUCUUAAAUAUCAAAGGUGAGCCAGUACAGGAUGGACCCGCGUCUGAUUAGCUAGUUGGUAAGGUAACGGCUUACCAAGGCGACGAUCAGUAGCCGACCUGAGAGGGUGAUCGGCCACAUUGGAACUGAGACACGGUCCAAACUCCUACGGGAGGCAGCAGUGGGGAAUAUUGCACAAUGGGCGAAAGCCUGAUGCAGCAACGCCGCGUGAGUGAUGAAGGCCUUCGGGUCGUAAAACUCUGUCCUCAAGGAAGAUAAUGACGGUACUUGAGGAGGAAGCCCCGGCUAACUACGUGCCAGCAGCCGCGGUAAUACGUAGGGGGCUAGCGUUAUCCGGAUUUACUGGGCGUAAAGGGUGCGUAGGCGGUCUUUCAAGUCAGGAGUGAAAGGCUACGGCUCAACCGUAGUAAGCUCUUGAAACUGGGAGACUUGAGUGCAGGAGAGGAGAGUGGAAUUCCUAGUGUAGCGGUGAAAUGCGUAGAUAUUAGGAGGAACACCAGUUGCGAAGGCGGCUCUCUGGACUGUAACUGACGCUGAGGCACGAAAGCGUGGGGAGCAAACAGGAUUAGAUACCCUGGUAGUCCACGCUGUAAACGAUGAGUACUAGGUGUCGGGGGUUACCCCCUUCGGUGCCGCAGCUAAC